rnacentral:lncRNA from 10 species
GGAGACGGGCUUACCUUCCACUGUGAGAGUUACCUGAAGCUCGGCGUCUGUGAUGGUCUAGGGGGCUUCCGAGGCGAUCGGGCAGUGUCAGUCUUCAGCUGCUAAGCCGAGAAGAUCUGGGAAGGAGUCAGUCAGAGAGCCUUGGGCCAGAGUUCCAGGGACUCUGGGAGUGGCUGCCAGGUGAGUUGAACAGUCCGAUUUCCAGUGGGGUCCCGCACAGAUGGGACGCGGCUUAGGAGGAAUCCCGGGCUGCGGGCAUUCCUUGGCCCAGUGGCCAGAUUUCCGGCAUGUGUAGCAAGCUCCUGGGGGAGGAGGUUCUGGAGGAACGCCUGGCCACUGCGGUUCAGGCAUUUGGAAGUUCUUGUGUGCUGGAGAUGUGGCUGGGGUUUGUCUCACAGUGGAGGCAAGGAAUUGCAACUUUUUUCUG